rnacentral:rRNA from 1 species
UGGGGAAUAUUGCACAAUGGGGGAAACCCUGAUGCAGCGACGCCGCGUGAGCGAUGAAGGCUUUCGAGUCGUAAAGCUCUGUCCUAUGGGAAGAUAAUGACGGUACCAUAGAAGAAAGCCCCGGCUAAUUACGUGCCAGCAGCCGCGGUAAUACGUAAGGGGCGAGCGUUGUCCGGAAUUAUUCGGCGUAAAGAGUGCGUAGGCGGCAAAUUAAGUCAGAUGUGAAAACUAAGGGCUCAACCCAUAGAUUGCAUCUGAAACUGAUAUGCUUGAGUCAAGGAGAGGAAAGUGGAAUUCCUAGUGUAGCGGUGGAAUGCGUAGAUAUUAGGAGGAAUACCGGUGGCGAAGGCGACUUUCUGGACUUGAACUGACGCUGAGGCACGAAAGCGUGGGGAGCAAACAGG